CUUUUCCUUUAAUUUUCUAACUCUUCGUUUGGAUCGGGUAUAAGCAAUAACUAGUUAUACCGGGAAUAAGUACAAGAAUGAAUUUUCGUAAGAACAAGAGUAUUUUUUUGUUUGGAUGAAAAUGUAAGUAUAAGCUGGAACUAGAAAAAUUAUAUUUGGAUAAAAAUCUGAGAAUAAUGCGGAAUAGUUGGUAGUUAUAGAUAGAAAUAAUAAUUUUACCUAUAUAAUUGAAUUUAACAUUUUAAACUAAUAAUUUUAAAUUAAAAAUUUUAACUUUUAAAUUUUAAAAUUAAAACUUAUAAUUUUCAAAAUUUAAAUUUUAAAUAUCAAAUUUUAAAUUUAAGAUCAAAUUUAAAUUUGAAAGAUAUGAAAUAUAAAAUUUUAAAUUUUAAAACUAAAAAAUUAAAUUUAAAAUUUAAAAAUUAUAAAUAUCAAAUUUAUAAUUUAAACAUUAAAAUUUAUAAUUUAAAAUUAUAAAUUUAAAUUUUAAAAAACUAAAUUAUAAAUUUUAGAAAUUAAAAUUAAAAUUAAAAAUCUCUCUCUCUCUCUCUCUCUCUCUACCCGGGAGGGGUGGAACAAGUGUUCUACCCCUUGUUCCACCCCAACUGGUACAAGGGGGGACUUGUACCAGUUGGGUGGAACAAGGCCCCCCUGAUAGAAAUAAUAAUUUUACCUCUAUAAUUGAAUUUAACAUUUUAAA
rnacentral:lncRNA from 1 species